AGCUCCAAUAGCGUAUAUUAAAGUUGUUGUGGUUAAAAAGCUCGUAGUUGGAUCUCAACAGACUUGGAUCGGUUUACUUUGUGUAAUACUGAUCCAAAGCUGUGCUUUUGUCGGAGGUUUAUGGGUGCUCUUAACCGAGUGUCUGUGAGUGCCGACAGGUUUACUUUGAAAAAAUUAGAGUGCUUCAAGCAGGCUGUUAUGCCAGAAUAUUUGUGCAUGGAAUAAUAGAAUAGGAUGUUGAUCUUAUUUUGUUGGUUUUCGAGACUUGACAUAAUGAUUAAUAGGGACAGUCGGGGGCAUUUGUAUUCAAACGACAGAGGUGAAAUUCUUGGACCGUUUGAAGACAAACUACUGCGAAAGCAUUUGCCAAGAAUGUUU
rnacentral:rRNA from 1 species